GACGUAGGGCGCGAGCGUUGUCCGGAUUUAUUGGGCGUAAAGAGCUCGUAGGCGGCUUGUCGCGUCGUCCGUGAAAACCCACAGCUCAACUGUGGGCUUGCGGUCGAUACGGGCAGGCUAGAGUUCGGUAGGGGAGACUGGAAUUCCUGGUGUAGCGGUGAAAUGCGCAGAUAUCAGGAGGAACACCGGUGGCGAAGGCGGGUCUCUGGGCCGAUACUGACGCUGAGGCGCGAAAGCUAGGGGAGCAAACGGG
rnacentral:rRNA from 1 species